UCAUGAUCCUCCUGACCUCUGCCUCCUGAAUAGCAAUGAUUAUAGGCAUGAGCCACCAGCACCUGGCUGAUCAUCUAUAUAUUUUUUUAAAGCUUCCCAAAUGUUUAUAAUGUAUAGCCAGAGUUAACAACCAUCAUCUUAGAAAAAUUAGAGAGUCUUUGUGGAAGUUACCAACUAUUUCAGUAUUGACUUUGAACCUGUUUCACCCUUCUCCUCCAUGGAAAGAUUACAAGGUGGAGUUUGCCCCCUGGAAGCUCUGUAUGAAAAGAAGUGCUAUCGAACUGGGACCUAAGAGUACAUUUGGCUUCUAAGACAAGGGCAUCAUUCCUUAAUAAACUAUACUUAACUAGGAUCUCCUCCUCUCCUUUCUUUUGUAUAAUUACAUGUGGUUUAUUUAAAGUUUCAACUCCCACUUGUUUUUCUAGCCUCCACUGGACCCUAGUUAACUUAUUUUGAAGUUUGCAGGAACUUGUAAGAGGAGAUGGUACUGUUGAAAGACAUUACAUAAGAUUUGAAAACUGAGAUGCAUUAACUUACCGUCCUUUUGGGCAGUAUACUAGAGGGUUCCACUAUAUUCUGAUGUAUUAAGCUAGUAAUUCUCGAAGUGGGAUCCACAGACUAGCAGCACCAACAUGGCAUUCUCAGGCCCACUGUAGACUCACUAAAUCUUAAAUUCAGACUCAGAAAUCGGUUUUUAACAAGCCUUCUAGGAGGUUCUGAGGCAAGCUGAGGUUUCAGAACCACUCUUUUUAAGUCAUUUUCUAAUUGUGUAGAAUUCUUCUGGUAGCAGACUAGGUGUCAAAAAUUAUCAUUCUUGUGCCACCUUGGCUUCAGAAUCCUGACAGGAACAGGGGAAAACUAACAGACAUCUUGUGGUAGGAACUGUUGAAAUGUAACAGAGCCUUGCCUCUUGAGUAUGCUAGACUGCUUUCAGGUCCUUGUUGCCUUGUUGCUUUCUGUACAAAGCAAGGUGUACACAAGCUCCUUCCAGGAUGACAAUUACAGUGAGGUGCAGAGGAAAGCAGUUGUUCAUCUUAGGGUGUAUAGUGUAUUCAGAGGGCUUGUGUUUAGGUUGGACUCUGGUAGUUUUGUGAUCUUUCUCCCUUGUAUGUGUGGUUUUGGUCUUUUGGGAAUGUCCCUAGUUUUGAGACCAGCAUCAGACAGGGGAGUAGCUGCACUGACUCAUCCCCAGACGGACGUGGAACAUGUGGGAGAAAGAUAAGAUUAAAAUGUGCUGGGUGUAAUCGGAGUGAAGGGGAUAGUGAUGCAGCGCUUGUGAUGAAGUGAGAGUCAAGGCGACAGUGAUCAGGUGACAUCCACCUUGGCUCAGGAUCUGAAAAGGUGCCUGGUCUCCUCCACCACAAGGUGAAUCCAGGAAUAGAUCCAAAUGAGUUUUUGCUGCUUGCCAGUAUCGUUGGGUUCUGUAGUCCAUUAAGCAAGUCCUCAUGGUCAGCCAUAUCAGACAUAGCUGAUGGCUUUAGGAAUAUAAAUAGUGCAACGAACAGUGGGUUGGCCAGUACUGGAAGUUCAUUUCAGGACCUCCUAGCAGCUGCUUCAGAACAUUGCCUAAGACUCACAAACACGCUUAUAUUUAACACUUUAAAAAAAAAAACAACAAAACCCACCAAUAUUAGUUUGGAUUACAAAUUCUUCUGUCAGUGGCUUCUUACAUAAAGCCAUAUCUGAGACAAUAUGGCUUGAGUGCUCAGCCUCCAAAGGGCAGCAAUUCAGGUUUUCUUUACAGGGGAGUGGGAAGGGCAGGCAGGUCACUCUUCUGAUUCACCACGAUUCUUGGAAAGGGUCAAGAAGUUGAGUUUAGGUGUUGGAAUACCAUUAGAAGUCUGUGCAGAAGGACAGCUGCACUGAGUCUUCUGUCUGGGGCCAGAGUAUGAAGAAAAUCCUAAAAAGUGUGUCAUUAAAACUGCAGGAAGCAUUCACAGUUGAACUCCAGGAGGGCAAUAAGAACUUUUAAAGAUCAAAAGUCAUUUGGAUAGGGCUGGUAGGGAACUUGAAGUGUUUGGGACAAUGGAGUGCUUCCAAAGCUGAGACUGCUUACAGAGGAAUUGUGCAAACUCAUGGCAAUAGCACUUUCAUUUUGGUUUCCCAAAAGCAUGGAUCUCUGUUUGCAUGUUUUGGGGAUAAGAAGAACCUGGCAUUAGGGGUUUUUGAAGGUUCCUUCAAAAACAAUCAGGCUUAUAAGAAAAAGCCUGCCUGGCAGCAUUCUACAAGACUUGGCUCCCAGACCAGUAGGAUCAUGAGUCCUUGGCUCCUGUGGCCUCAGUUUGAAGAUGGCAAUGAGGGAUCAUCUGCUCAACCUUCUCCCCCUCGUUUUAGGGGACUGUAGAGGAAACCUGUGGUUUUGAAAAGAAGGUGCCUGUGCCCUGACUUCUCUAUGCUCCAGAACUACAGAGAAUUGUGGGUGAAGUUGGAAAGCUUUCAUCUGCCCCACUCUACGAAGGCCAAACCAUCACAUCUUGAGUCUGAGCUGGUGUGAAUGGGUAUGAUGUGUGUAGUCACAGCCUUCAGUUCAUCCAUCAUUUUCAUGACUGGAACUAAAAGGUCUUGUUAAUUGGACAUUUAUUAGCAAUCUGCCAGGUGCUAUUAAGAGUUUAAUAGCUCUUCUUUCCACAUGAGGAAACUGAGGUACAGAAUGGUUAAGUGAUUUGACUGAGGCCAUACAAUUGGUAACAGAGGUGGGAUGCAAAAUGUCUCUACUUUGGUUAAAUAAACUCUGAAGUCAAUAAUUUAUCCAGCUUUAGGGAUUUUGAUUCUAUUGUAAUGCUGCUUGACACCUCACUGGUCUGAUCUUUGCUUUCAUACUUCUCAUUCUGGUUUAAAAGAAGAGAAAGGAGGAGCAUUUGUAUGAUCUUCUGUUGGAACGGAGAUAGAUGUGUUCACCUGCCUGUAGCUGCUUCAGAACCUUCAGAAAGAACAGUCUUGAGCAUGAAGGGUGGUCAUCUCCAACGAGGAUAGCUAGCCAUGCCUCUUAAACACCAGCAACCAUCCUGAAACUAAGUGUCACGUGGGGUAUGUACUUGAAAUGCUAGCAGUCUUGCAUGGUAUGGCAGUUCGCUUAAACAAACUUUACAUAGUUAUUUUCUUUUCAAACAGGACUUCCUAGGGCAAUUCUUUCUCAAGGGAAAUCCUAUCACAUCCUUCUGGUAGUAGGGUAACUCAAGCAUCAGCAUAAAAUCCAAAAAAAUCCUAAACAGUCAGGAAAAAGUGGAAGAAUCAGAACCCAAAUUAAACUAAUCCAAAAGUUCACUUUUUGGUCAGGCAUUCAGGAAGCAGCACAUGAAAAUUUGCUUGGAUAGUUUCCUCAUAGUUCUUCAGCAGCUUGAAAUAGCACCUUCAAAUGGCAGCAAACAAAAAUCUCAGGUUAUCGUUUUUCCUUCCAUCUCAUUGAAUAAGUUAUUGUAUAGGGAGGGGAACAAGACAAAGUUUUGUGUUCCUGAAGCUCAGGUUUUGGGAUCUGUGUUUAUACAGAAUUACUUAUGAGUUCCAGUUACCUUGAAAGAAAAAAAAAAAAAAGUAAAGUUAU